UACGUAGGGUGCGAGCGUUGUCCGGAAUUAUUGGGCGUAAAGGGCGCGUAGGCGGCGGGGUAAGUCGGGUGUGAAAUCUCAGAGCUCAACUCUGAAACUGCACUCGAUACUGCUCUGCUUGAGGACUGGAGAGGAGACUGGAAUUCACGGUGUAGCAGUGAAAUGCGUAGAUAUCGUGAGGAAGACCAGUGGCGAAGGCGGGUCUCUGGACAGUUCCUGACGCUGAGGCGCGAAGGCCAGGGGAGCAAACGG
rnacentral:rRNA from 1 species